ensembl:lncRNA
UCUAGAUUCAAUUUCUCUCGCUCCCCAAGGCAAGGAACGACUCCUCUCUGUAUCCAUGACAUCCAGAGACAGCAGGAUUAGACUCAAGGUGAAGUUGGCCCCACCUGGCUGAUCCCAAGGAGCGGCUGGUCCCCUAUCACUUCUCCAACCCUCAGCCUGGAUGUAGGAGGAGGCUGGCCUCCGUGUUGGUGAGAGCUGCCCAGUGGGGUUUUCCUCUGCAGAAGGAAAAGUGCUCUGUCUGCCCAGAAUGCCUGCCUCACACUCAUCGUCUGCCAGAUACCCAGCCUUUCCUCCUGGAACCGUGUCCGGAAAUCGUAGCGAUGACCUGAGCUGAGUGCAGAUGAGCGGCUGAGAACUCUAUGUACUCUCACAUGACCACAGAACUGCCCGACACCAGCAUGCUGGGGCCUUGCUUUACCUUGACGAGGUGCGACAGAAGAAGUCUGUCUUGGAUCCCAGCCAGGCACUUUGAAAAACCAGAAGGAUCUCAUUACAAUGAAGUUACAACCUAUGAGAUGGCACCAUAGCAGGGACGCCCCCCCCUCCAAAAGAAGAUUAACCAGAUAAGUGAGGAAAGAAUAACAUGAUUCUGCCUUUAAGUCACAUCAACCCAGGACAAAGAAAUGAAAUGUCCCCCUACCCAGCCAUGAUGGAGUCUAACAUGCUGUGGAAAUGAACGAUCACGGUUUACCUUGUGAGUUAUUGUUUUGUCACUUGUCCUACACCAUGUGCUAUGUUACAAGCUCCUUGCAAACAGCGUGCAUCUUAUCCAUCUGUGUCCACUUGCAGUGUCCCCUCUGCCCAGAAAUGUGGCUGGUGCUGCUCACGGCACACUCACAACACAGCAGGUGGGGAGAACCAGGGACCAGACUUGAACCUCUCUUCACAACUGGAAUGUUAGCCCCAGGUUUCCAUAGGGAAUAAAACUUUUACUCCCCAAGACAUAAUAGUUUGAGAGGAAUGCUUCCAGCCCUUUCCCCAUGCUCCUUCUCUGGAACCACUUUCCUGACUGCUGAGGGUGAGGAGCCUUUGGGCAGAGUGACUCUGAGCCUCCUGGGUUUCUCCCUUAAAAGGGGUUCUCAGGCAUGCAUUCUUUCUCUGCUAGGGGCCAAAUGUGGGCUCAGGCAUUUGUUGCCUGGCGUAGCCUCCAGACUGGCCCCACAGCUCCUGCGUCCUGGAAUUCACGUCUUCUAGGUACCAUCUUCCCAUAUGGAACAAAGCUGACAUGUGUGACCAAUAGGAGAGGGCAGGAGUGAUGUUGUGUGGCUUCUGAGCCCAGGUCACAGAAGACAUUGCAGCUUCUGCCUUAGUCUCUGGGAUGACUCAUUCUGGGGGACGCCAGCUGCCAUUUCACAAGGACACUAGUCCUGGGCUCAGUUGCAUCCCCCUCCCAAUUAACAUGUUGAAAUUCUAACCCCCAGCACCUCAUAAUGUGACUGGAUUUGGAGACAGGGUCUUUAAAAAGAUAAUUAAGGUAAAAUGAGGUCAUCAGGGGGGCCCUGAGCCAAUGCGACUGGUGUCCUUAUGAAAAGAGGAGAUAAGGACACAGCUGCACAGAGGGAAGAUCAUGUGAAGACACAGAGAGCAGAUGCCAUCUACAGCCAAGGAGAGACACCUCAGAAGAAACUAAUCCUGUGGACACAUUGAUCUCAGACUUCUGGCUUCCAGAAUUAUGAGAAAAUUAAUUUUUGGUUAAGUCCCCAGUCUUUGGUACUUUGUUUUGGCAGCCUGAGCUAACUAAUGCAACACUCAAGCAGCCCUGUGAGAGGUCCACGUGGAGAGGCACCAACUGUGAGUCCUGUGCGUGAGCCACCUUGAGAGCAGAUCCUCCUGCCUCAGUCAAGCCUUCAGAUGAUUCCAGCCUCCCAGCCUUAAAUCUCCAGCUGAGGCUCAGACGC